UUUUUUGAGAUAUGUGGAGUAUAUCUUAGGUAUUCUGUACUUUGUUCUUUGGCUAAUAUCCACUUACCUCACUCAGGAUGAUAUUUUUCUAGUUCCAUCUAUUUGUCUGCCAAACUCAUGAUGUCCUUGUUCUUAAGAGAUAAAUAAGAAUUCCAUUGUGUAAAUGAAGAACAUUUUCUGUAUCCAUUCAUCUGUCAUGGGACAUCUGGGAUGUUUUCAGCUUCUUGCUACCACAGAUAAGGAUACUAUGGACAUAGUGGAACAUGUGCCCCUGAGGCAUGGUGGGGCAUCUUUUGGGUAUAUUACCAAGAGUGGUUUUGCUGGGUCUUCACGUAGAUGUACUUCCAAAUUUUUGAGGAACCUCCAAAUUGGUUGGUUACUAGAGUGGUUGUAGCAAUUUGCAAUCCCACCAGCAAAAGAGGAGUGCUCCUCUUUAUCAACAUCCUCGCCAACAGGUGUUGUGAGGAGCUGUCCGAGGAGCUGUCCUCACAGAGAUGUGAGGAGCUGUCUGAGGAGCUCUCCUCACAUAUGUGAGGAGCUGUCCUCACAAACUCCAUUACAAGAUGGCACCGGCAUCCGGCAGAACGCACCUAGUAAAAAGGGCAAUACGCAGGCGCCUGGUAACGUCCCUACUCAAAGGGACACGUACGUUUUGGUACGUCAUCUGGCAUAAUUGGCAGCGACCAGUCAGAGAGUGACACGUCCUAGGCGAGGAUAGUUUCCUAUAUAAGGGACGGUUAUUCCUCACUCUCCGUCUCCGCAUUGUAAGCUUAUGCUCUCCCUCUCAAGACGCAUUAAAGCUUUUCUGUAGUAGGAUCCUGUGUGUGCCGCGUCGUUCCUGCUGGCGAGACGAAGCGCGGGACAUCUGGUGCCAAAAACCCGGGAAAGACCUCACCAUCGUCAGCACCUUCGGAGAUCCCUUGGCGACAAGGAGGAUUCAGAACUGCAGGACAAUGAAAAUCCCAUAUGGAUCCCAGGACGACUUACUAGGAGCAUCACAGCAAGUGAUCAAGAAGGGACUGGGACUCCUGCACCUCCUCACUCUUCUUCCAUGGAUGCCAGCAACGGUGCAGGGCGAGCUACGAUGGGGAAUAAUGUCAACCUUUCCACUCCUGAUGCCGGUGAUGUACCACUAUAAUCAAUCUUCUGCUUGGUUAAGGGAGGCCACAUGGGGAACUGGUGAGGAGGACAUUGUGGCUAACGCCACAGUUCUCUAUGGUGGUGGCCUUACAUUGGGUUAAUGGUAGCUGCACUGAUCUUACGCCCAUAGCGAUACUACUUGGAGGAAAGGGCGAAAAGGGACGGUUGUCAUUUUCCUGGACGGGGAACAUCAAACCUGCUGCCUCUGUCUGGACAGCUACUCAUAUAAAAUAUCGCAGUAGUUACCCGCAUGCCUCGCUUUAUCCCGAUCCCUGUUGAUGCCCCGGGGACCAUGACCUUAUUUAGAGGAAAAAGAGAUUUUGGUACUUCUGCAAUUAUUGCUGGCAUUAUUGCUACGACAGCAGUCGCUCCCUCGGUUACUGCCUCGGCAUUGGCCUUGUCAAAUUCAGUACAGACAACCCAAACUAUCAACGAUUUAUCGGCCACCAUCUCUGUGGCUCGGGACAGACAGGCCUCAGCCAACACUCAGAUAUAGGGAGGCCUUAUGCUUGUCAACCAACGUAUAGAUCUGGUCCGAGAGCAAUUAGACAUUCUAUGGCAACUGGCCCAGCUUGGCUGUGAGCAAAAACUCCCAGGCCUUUGUGUCACCUCCAUAUAAUAUGACAAAUUUACCCGAGCUGCUAAUCUGUCUAAGAGUCUUUCACAGCAUCUGUUACAGAAUUGGACCUCGGAGUUUGAACAGACACUUCGGGAGCUGAGAGCGACCAUCAUUCAAAUAAAUUCUACCCGACUGGACCUGUCUUUGACGGAGGGAUUGUCGUCCUGGAUCACCUCAGCAGUCUCUUAUUUCAAGGAAUGGGUGGGAGUGGGACUUUUUGGAGUGAUCCUCUGCUGUGGAUUAGUGUUACUCCUCUGGUUGUUUUGCAAAUUGAGAUCUCAAACAAGAAAGGACAAAGUAGUGAUCGCCCAGGCACUUGUAGCCCUUGAACAAGGAGCGUCAGCCGAUAUCUGGUUGACCAUGCUCAAGCAACAGGUCGCCGGCUGGACAGCUCUUGCACUCCUAGAACCUCGGUUCAUUGCACAGGAUUAGAGUGUCCGGCUUGAGCAGCCCAUGAGGGGUGACGAGCUUAGCAUCGCACAGGGAAGUUCUACCAAAUAUGCUCCCUGGAAGGCAUGUCAUAUUACAUGAGGGUUUCUGCCCCAGUUUUCCCUCCCUCGAAAAAUGGCAGUGCGACGGGUCGGGAGUGCCCUGGGUCCCAACAACAGCCUAAGGGUAUCUCUCUUGUACAGGUUCGCCAACUUCGUACGAGGAUAUGACCUCUGUCUUCACCCUCCUAUAUCUGGGUGUCCUGUUUGCUUAAAAAAAAAAAAAAAAAAAAACAGAAAGGGGGGAGAUGUGAGGAGCUGUCCGAGGAGCUGUCCUCACAGAGAUGUGAGGAGCUGUCCGAGGAGCUGUCCUCACAUAUGUGAGGAGCUGUCCUCACAAACUCCAUUACAAGAUGGCACCGGCAUCCGGCAGAACGCACCUAGUAAAAAGGGCAAUACGCAGGCGCCUGGUAACGUCCCUACUCAAAGGGACACAUACGUUUUGGUACGUCAUCUGGCAUAAUUGGCAGCGACCAGUCAGAGAGUGACACGUCCUAGGCGAGGAUAGUUUCCUAUAUAAGGGACGGUUAUUCCUCACUCUCCGUCUCCGCAUUGUAAGCUUAUGCUCUCCCUCUCAAGACGCAUUAAAGCUUUUCUGUAGUAGGA